GUGGGUCAAAGAACAUCAGACUCGCUUGCAUAUAGCAUUUGAGGGUGCUAGAGAAAAAUUGAGAACGUCUGCAGGACGCAGAAAAGCUAAUCAUGAUAAAAACAUCAGGGAAGCUCCUCUUAAAGAGGGCCAGUUUGUGUUGAUCCGAAAUUUGGGGAGUAAAGGUCGUCAGAAAACUCAGGAUUUUUGGAGUUCAGUGACACAUGUGGUUAUUCAAGUCCCAAGAGAGGGGGGUGUAGUGUAUUCAGUGGCACCAGUUCAUGACCAGACCAGGGUAAGGAGGGUACAUCGCUCUUUGCUGAAGGUCCUGAUUGGUGCUGAUGCACCUAAUUCAGUUUCUGUUGAAGGUGCGCCUUCUGAACAUCACUCCAUUUCAGAGGACGAGUUGUCUUUGGAGGGUGAUUUGUUCUUGAGGCCAUGGCCUCAGGAGCAGGUACCGCCUGUCCCACCUCCUGCUGUGGCUCCUUCUUCUGCUGCUGUGGUUCCCUCUGGUGUGACUGUGAAUCAACCUAUCUCAUUAGCAGUUGUACCGGCAGCAGAGUCUGGGCCCAGCGAGGUGUCUGUGCGUAGAUCGGCACGAUCAACUGCUGGCCAGCAUCAUAAUCUCCAUCAUCUUCCAAGACCAGCAGUGAGAGAAACACCUUCAUCUAGUACCAUGUCUGCUGUAUUUCGACCUUGGUGUUAAGUGGGAUCAUCGUCGGGGCGUCGAUGCAGUUUGGGGGGGUGGAAUGUGGCAGUAUGCCUGUGGCCUUUGAACGCACCACACAAGUGCCUAAAUCUAAUUGGUUGUGGCGCUGGCUGCCUGUAUAUAAAGGACCCUCCCCUACCUGGUUGACAUGACGUUGUUUUCCUUCCGGUUCAGACCUCGGUGUUGGUUGGUGCUGCACGCUAGCUGCAAAUUAAUGCAUGCGCGCAAAUGAUGCGCUAACGACGCUCUGAUCGCCGCCGCCUGUACAAGUUCUACGUUUCCUCCUUCCUUUUAGAGGCACUACAUAGAGAACUCAGCGGUAGGUGAAGUGCUGAAGUUUGGAUGCUUUUAGAUUCCAUUUCUAACAUUUAUUUUUGAUAGCCGCUGCCGUUUGUCCUUGGCCGGCUGUUUGCCCGCUGUUCUGGUUGUCCUCGACCGACGGUCCGCCUGUCAACUGGAUAAUCUGUCGGCUGCCUACCUGUCGUCCUGGUUGCUGGCUGUAGGCCCGCCGUCCUGGUCGGCGUAAAGUUGGCUCCUACCACUCGUCCAGUGUGGCUGAUUUGGGCCGAUUGGUGAUCAGCUCGGACUAAUUUUCUACUGCCGCUCUGAGUGGCGUCUGCUACGGCGGAUCGGUUUCUCCCUGGACGACUCUUAAUUUGGACUAUUGCUGCUUGAUUGUGGGCUGAACUGCAUAAUUGUAUUGUUUGUAAUUUGCAUGUCUCUCUUCUAUUUUUUUGUGAUAGGAACGGCCAGCUCGUGGUGUUGGUGGUGGACUUUCCGGGUGGUGGUACUCCUUUUUGGUUUGGUGCACGAUUUUCUUUUGUUUUGCCUUGUUUCGUUUGCUGUGUUUCUUUUCUUUUAGGACACUACCCCAAAUUGCACCCCCGUCCCUGAGUUGCGCUAACACUGACUUUUAAUGUGUGAGUGGUUUUAGACUAGUAUUUUCGAUUAACAAACAAUUGCAGAAUAAAUAAAAUUGUUACAUUGUGA